UGGCUCCUGCAACGUUGGUGAUGGCAUAAGACGUUUGAGCCAACAGUCUAUUUGAGCGGGUGCCUGGGUCGUUUCACGGUGCGCGAGCUUUUCCAUCAGGAACUUGCUUGCCUGAAGUGAAUCGCAGGGCGCCCCCUUGGUGAACAAGGUUCAAAUAGAUCCUGCCACACGGCGGCGCGGGAGCCCU
rnacentral:other from 1 species